UGUGUGUGUGUGUGUGUGGUAGGGACAGUGAUCAGCUCAGGACAGCUGCACAGCAGCCUCAGGUAAGACAGAAACUCCCAUCCUCUUACACAAGGGACCGGCAUGUACUCGACAUCUGUCGACACAAACACACACACACACACAGACACACACACAGAAACACAGACAUCCACACACAAACACAGUCUUUGAACUUUUUUUCUUUUUUUCUUGGCUAACAACACGCUUUUGUUUGAGCCGGCCACAAUAUGCUUCAAGAAGACAAUUUUGCAACUUGGUACAAAACUCCCAAACUCUCACAAGCGCUGAUCAGAGCAUGUGGUGCCCAGAGAAAGGGGAGUUCUCACACACACACUCAGCCUCCCAGCGCUCUUCAGCUGGCAUGAGUAAAGGCCCGGCGGCUGCUGCUGCCAGGCUGUCUGGGCCUGGACUUUUACCCAGAAGAGGGGCACUGCCAGCGGGGCCGAUGCUAUACUCGUGAACCAGGCCUGGAAUACGGCCUUUAGAGGUUUAGUCCCGCCGGUGUGUGUGAGUGUGUGCAUGCAUGCGUGUGUGUUUAAUGCUGCUGUAUGUGUUGGCAGUAAUGUGUUGGCCAUCUGGUAAGCUUGCCCCGUAGGACCACACAUAGCAGUACAGUAGCUUUACAUCUGCCACAGCUAUUUAAAGGCCCACACACUCACAUAGAGUGUGACCACAGCAGGCACCCAUAUAGGUAUCAGGCUAACAGACUCAGCCAUACAUCCAGAAACAUCCACAGACACAUGCAGACAGAGGGAAACUUGUGGCAUGAAGACGCACACGUUUCACACUCAGACAGAGGUGUCUAAAUCGACAGUCUUACACACACAGACACAUGCAGACAGACUGUGACGCUCUCACCUCUAACUCCCCUGCAUCCUGUUCACUUCUUUGUCCAUGCUCUUAUGUAAUUUAUGAAAAUGUGAUGUGCUGUUUGCGCUGCUAUGUGAUCCAUGGACACCUAAUGUUCUCAGCCACCUGCUCGCUGUUUGGAGUCGGGGUCUUAACGCAACGGCGUGGGCGACACCGGACAGACCGGGAGCAGAACAGCCAGUGACUCAUCAGGCUUGAGAAAAGCUGAUCCAGAGAAAUGAUUUCUGUGAGGUCAAUCAGUCUGAUAAACAUUAGGCUUGUGUGAUUUCUGUCUUUGG